AUUGAACGCUGGCGGCAGGCCUAACACAUGCAAGUCGAACGAGUGGCGGACGGGUGAGUAAUGUCUGGGAAACUGCCCGAUGGAGGGGGAUAACUACUGGAAACGGUAGCUAAUACCGCAUACUAUCGGAGGUGCCCAGAUGGGAUUAGCUAGUAGGUGGGGUAACGGCUCACCAAGGCGACGAUCCCUAGCUGUUCUGAGAGGAUGACCAGCCACACUGGAACUGAGACACGGUCCAGACUCCUACGGGAGGCAGCAGUGGGGAAUAUUGCACAAUGGGCGCAAGCCUGAUGCAUCCAUGCCGCGUGUAUGAAGAAGGCCUUCGGGUUGUAAAGUACUUUCAGCGAGGAGGCGUUACUCGCAGAAGAAGCACCGGCUAACUCCGUGCCAGCAGCCGCGGGAAUUC
rnacentral:rRNA from 1 species